rfam:HIV-1 strain 98IS002 from Israel, complete genome.
GACCAGGAGGAAAGAAACGCUAUAUGCUAAAACACAUAGUAUGGGCAAGCAGGGAGCUGGACAGAUUUGCACUUAACCCUGGUC